AAAUGUGGCAAAGCUUUUAAGUGGUCCUCAUACCUUAGUAGACAUAAGGUCAUUCAUAUUGGAAUUCAUACUGAGGAGAAAUUCUACAAAUGUGAAGAAUGUGGCAAAGGGCUUUACUGGUCCUCUUCCCUUACUAAAGAAUGUGGAAAAGCUUUUAAACGGUACUUAAACCUUACUACACAUAAGAUAAUUCCUGCUGGAGAGAAACCCUACAAAUGUGAAGAAUGUGGCAAAGGUUUCUAUUGAUUCUCAUACUUACUAAACUUAAGAAAAUUCACACUGGAGAGAAAUUCUACAAAUGUGAAGAAUGUGGCAAAGGCUUUAAUUGGUCCUCGACCCUUACUAAACAUAAAAGAAUUCAUACCAUACAGAAAUCCUACAAAUGUGUAAAAUGUGACAAAGCUUUUAACCACUUUUCAAUCUUGCCUACAUAUAAGAUAAUUCAUGCUGGAAAUCCUACAAAUAUGAAGAAUGUCUCAAAGCUUUUUACUGAUUCUCAUACCUUACUAAACAUAAAAUAAUUCAUAAGGGAGAGAAAUUAUACAAAUAUGAAAAAUCUUGCAAAGCUUUUAACAAAUCUUCAUCCAUUACUAAACAUAAGAUAAUUCAUACUGGAGAGAAAACCUACAAAUGUGAGGAAUGUGGCAAAGCCUUUAACCUGUCCCCCCAACUUACUGCACAUAAGAUAACUUAUACUGGAGAGAAGCCCUACAAAUGUGAAAAAUGUGGCAAACAUUUUAACCAAUCAUCAACCCUUACUACACAUAUGUUAAUUCAUGCUGGAGAGAAACCCUACAAAUAUGAAGAAUGUGGCAAAGCUUUUAACCAAUCCUCAAAACUUACUAAGCAUAACUCAUACUGGAGAAAAAUCUUACAAAUGUGAAGAAUGUGGUAAAGCCUUUAUCCAGUCCUCAACUCCUACUAAACAUAACAUAAGCUGCUUACAACUGUGAAGAAUGUGGCAAAGCUUUUAACCAGUCCUAAAACUUUAUUGAACAAAAUAAUUCAUUCAGGAGAGAAACCCUACAAAUGUGAAGAAUGUGACAAAGCCUUUAACCAGUCCUCAAUUCUUAAUAAACAUAAGAAAAUUCAUAUUGGAGAG
rnacentral:lncRNA from 1 species